rnacentral:misc_RNA from 1 species
GGUUUUUAUUUUUAUACUUUAAACUUUGAUUUUAUUUUUAUGUUUUUUAAAUAUUGGUGUUUUUGAAUGUGUUGUUUAAAUAACAUAAAAAAUAAAAUAUAUAUAUUGACAUGCAUUAAACAAAGAUAUAUAUUAUUUUAUGUUGUAUAAAUAAAUUGGCAAAAUAGAGAUGGAAG